rnacentral:tRNA from 1 species
UCCUUGGUGGUCUAGUAGUUAGGACUUGGCACUUUCACUGCUGUGGCUUGGGUUCAAUCCCUUGCCUGGGAA